CAGGAUAAAUUUUACAUCAAAUAGAGCUAAAUUUUAAAAGUUUUAUUGAUACCUCCAGGGACAUUAAAGGGAUGUGGUAAUUCAGAAAAAUUUACAGCAGCUAGGGUAUUUUCAGGUAUUUUCCAGACCAGAAUUGAACUACUAAAGCAUGUCAUUUCUUCCUUGGCUCUUAAUAAGAUAAACAUCUAUCCUUUUGUAAAUAUAUGUAUUUCUAUACCUAAAUAAAUUUCUUGCAAAUACAAUUCUAAUACUGGAUUUCUUGAUGUGAGAACAAGAUAGAAGCUGACAGAUACUGUGAAGGACAUUUGGUUUUAAGCACUGGUAUAGAGACCCUGAAAUAGCAAUCCCUGAAAUAGCAAUAAAGAAGACACCAAGUUGCCUGCUACAGGGAAGUUAUGUCUGUUCUUUUCAGACUGAAUCCAGAAAAAGAAAGAAGAAAAACAGGCUAUGGAUUUUUCCUAAAAAUCAAAUAAAACAUCACAACAUCUGUGAGGCUGUAAUAGGAGAGAGAAGAAGUCCUCUCUGGAGUCUCACUGGGGAGGAGACUGGGAGUGCAACAAAAUUGGCCAUAACUUUAUAACCUCAGGAGUUCCCAGUGCUCCUAAGACUUCUUUAUAUGGAAAGGAAAAGGUCUACAUUUGACUGAAGAGACAUAAACAGUGAAAUUGUGAGUGAAUACAACCCCCUUGAUUGCACUUUUUUAAAGAAACUUGCACAAGUUUUCUAAGCAAAAGCAGACAUUUCUCAUAUGCAUUGCAUUAAUCAAAGUCUUGCAAUUUAUUGUAGUUAUUCAGCAAAAUCGCUUACUUCUUUUUUUACUAUUAAAGGCUGUGUUUGCUGUUGUGCACCAUGUGUGCUUUCUAGAUUAGAAUACUAGGCCAAAUAUUAAAAUAUAAACCAAAUGUGUAAAAGCCCUUUUCAGACAAGAAGUUAUAAAGCUGUAGUAAAUUUAAAUAUUCUAAUGCUUAGUUUCUUAUAGGAAAUAUGAUACUAGUAUUCAUGAAAUGUCAGACAGCAGUACAAGUAACUAACCUUGCUCAGCCUUACGCACUCUGGGAGCUGCAAUAUGUAGUUCCACUGAUAUAGCUCUGGAAACUUUUGGAAAAAGGUCUCCCACAGGAGUGCAGGAGGCAUGGACUUGCAGAAGUUCCUUUACCAGAAUCUUUUUUUUUGCAUGUUCACCUCUGCCAACACGUACCUAAUAAUCUUAAUAACUUGGAGUAAAUGUAAAAUUUUCUUCUUCACUUGCUUCAAGCUAUGUACCCAUUUUUUUGUUUGUUUGUUUGUUUGUUUUCAUAAAAAACAGUAUGGUUGAGAAUAGUAUCACGUAGGAAUUAGGUAAUGAAAUGGAAAAUAGAGUGUUCUACAGAAGAAACUCUGAUGCAGAAAAAAAAAGGUGUCAGAGAAGGAAAAUAGCAAGAGUGAAACACUGAAUUGCAACCAUUAAAAUCAGGGAAAAUACAAGAGAGAGAUGAUGCUCAAGCCCCUGGAGGAGAGACUGAGGAGUGGAGAUGGGGCUUCUAGUGUUCCAUACAGCCAAGAGACUGAAGAGGCUGAGGGCAGGAAAUGAGUCAAUAGGUUUUUCAGAUGCUCUAUUUGGUAUAGCUGAAGCUUUUUGAGGAAUGGGGGGAAUUGACACUUGAAGUUGAGGGGAAGCAGGAAUAGAGAAAUGGAGAAAUAGCUGAAGAAACAGAAAUCUGAUCUAAGUGACCUCUCACAAUGCAUUAUUUUAAAAUGUAAGUGUGUUUAGUAUAAUUUUUUGUAAUUCCUCAGAAGCGGUCAUUGCAAAAGACUAUAUAUGUAAAAAUCUGCACCACCUUACCAUGGACAUUCAGCUGUUUAAAUUGAGAACUGCAGCGCAGGUCCCAGGCUGGGACAUUUCCAUGUCUCCAGCUACGGCUCAAGAGGCAAAAUGUUGUUUCUAGAAGGUGAGUGAGCCCACCUGAGAGGAGACUUCCAUGUGUCCUCUGGCGAGGGGGAUCUAUGGAAAUUUACCCCACAACAUGUGAAAAAAUUUUUUAAAAAGCUAACCACCCAGUAUAUAAACAUCGCUGCUUAUUUCUGCAAAAGCUUGUGAGAAGAAAACGCAGCGCGUGUCUUUAUCUAGUGGCAUUCAAGUCCAUUUGAAGAGCGUGCAGUCAUCUUCCGCAUUGCACACAGUCCACGGGAGAGGGCUCUUACAACCUCUCUGAGGCGCUGAAGUAUGACAGAGGCAAGACUCGGACUAUUUCUUUGAAAGAAUUAAACCUUCAUACAAGGAGGUUGAUUUGGGAAAGAAGGAGUUAAGGUGCAGCGUAUACGCGGAGGAACCCAUCGGGAUGUUCCAUUACCCGGGGAGGGGAGAGCCUGUUUCCACAUUCUUUGUUAUUCACUGUAAAAUUCACUUUAAAAUUUCUAAAGGAGAGGGAAAAACUGGCACUAUAAAUCACGAGGAGGAGAUCUGUGAGUUAAAACCGGUGACACUGAGGUAAAAUUCUAAGGGCUCCUCUCUGCUCUCCGGAGCGUGGGCACGUCCCACUCCGCCGCCGGUCGGUGUCGCAGCCCGGUGUGAGGGAGGAGGCGCGGCGGCACUCGGCAUUUUGGCAUCAGUAUAUAGCAUUUUCAGUGAAAUUUUGGGGAACUGGACAAAUUAUAUCUAUUACACGUGAAGAGCCCCAUCCAUACAGAAGUUUCACGUAGACAUCUCUGAACUGCUUUUAGAAGAGGGCAAAACUGGUAGAGGCCUGGACAUUUACGUCUUGCUGUGUCCAAGUGUAUGGCUGAAUCCUGCAUUCCAUAAAUGAGCAAGAAUAUAGAAGGAUUUUUUCCAAGUACUGAGAAGUUCAUAAAAGAA